rnacentral:lncRNA from 1 species
CCCUAUAUAGUUUAUGCCAACAAGACUACUCAGGAUGGGGGAUGACCAUGCCAGGAAAACCAACCAUGUGAUUAGAGAGCUGGGGCUUUGAGCCAUGUGGUAUCAACUCAACCUUUGGGAAGAGGAAGAGAACAAGAGAUUACGAACCAUGGGCAAUCAUUCAAUUGAUCACGAGAGCAAAGCAUCCUGACUCCAAGAAGAGAGGGCGAAAGAAGCGUCACCUUCAGCAUCCUUCUAGAUCUCGCCCUAAAUACAUGAACUGGUCAACUUUAUUAAAAACUUCAAAUCUACAUUCUUGCAGGGACAGUUG